rnacentral:rRNA from 1 species
AUUGAACGCUGGCGGCAUGCCUUACACAUGCAAGUCGAACGGCAGCACGGGAGCAAUCCUGGUGGCGAGUGGCGAACGGGUGAGUAAUAUAUCGGAACGUGCCCAGUCGUGGGGAUAACGUAGCGAAAGCUACGCUAAUACCGCAUACGAUCUAAGGAUGAAAGCGGGGGAUCGCAAGACCUCGCGCGAUUGGAGCGGCCGAUAUCAGAUUAGCUAGUUGGUGAGGUAAAGGCUCACCAAGGCGACGAUCUGUAGCUGGUCUGAGAGGACGACCAGCCACACUGGGACUGAGACACGGCCCAGACUCCUACGGGAGGCAGCAGUGGGGGAAUUUUUGGGACAAUGGGCGCAAGCCUGAUCCAGCAAUGCCGCGUGCAGGAUGAAGGCC